rnacentral:misc_RNA from 1 species
GAUGAAGAACGUAGCGAAAUGCGAUGAGUAAUGUGAAUUGCAGAAUUCAGUGAAUCAUCGAAUCUUUGAACGCACCUUGCGCUCCUUGGUAUUCCGAGGAGCAUGCCUGUUUGAGUGUCAUGAAAUUCUCAACCUUUUCAGCUUUCUUUGUUGAUCAGGCUUGGAUGUGGGAGUAUGCGGGCUUCUCAGAAGUCGGCUCUCCUGAAAUGCAUUAGCGGGACCUUUGUUGCCUGGCUUUGGUGUGAUAAUUAUCUACGCCAUUGUAGUCAAGCAGCUUAAAAUGAGGUUUCAGCUUCUAACCGUCUCCCCUGAGACAACUUUUUGACAAUUUGACCUCAAAUCAGGUAGGACUACCCGCUGAACUUAAGCAUAUCAAUAAGCGGAGGA